AAUUUAGCUGAUAAAGGUCUCUUAAAACUAAACAGUCCAAUAGGGAAUUAACACCUAUAUUAUUUAUUCUUUUAACCCAAUAACUAACUUCCCAUGACCCUCAGUGUGACA